GGACGAACGCUGACGGCGUGCUUACCACAUGCAAGUCGAACGGUGAAGCGCCUUCCUUUUUGGUGGGUGUGGAUGAGUGGCGAACGGGUGAGUAACACGUGAGUAACCUGCCCCCUUCUUCUGGAUAACCGCAUGAAAGUGUGGCUAAUACGGGAUAUUCUGGGUCUGUCGCAUGAUGGGUCUGGGAAAGAUAUUGUUUCGGUGGGGGAUGGGCUCGCGGCCUAUCAGCUUGUUGGUGGGGUGAUGGCCUACCAAGGCGGUGACGGGUAGCCGGCCUGAGAGGGUGGACGGUCACACUGGGACUGAGACACGGCCCAGACUCCUACGGGAGGCAGCAGUGGGGAAUAUUGCACAAUGGGCGCAAGCCUGAUGCAGCGACGCCGCGUGAGGGAUGGAGGCCUUCGGGUUGUGAACCUCUUUCGCCAGUGAAGCAGGCCUGCCUCGUUUGUGGGUGGGUUGACGGUAGCUGGAUAAGAAGCGCCGGCUAACUACGUG
rnacentral:rRNA from 1 species